GACGAACGCUGGCGGCGUGCCUAAUACAUGCAAGUCGAACGCUUCUUUCCUCCCGAGUGCUUGCACUCAAUUGGAAAGAGGAGUGGCGGACGGGUGAGUAACACGUGGGUAACCUACCCAUCAGAGGGGGAUAACACUUGGAAACAGGUGCUAAUACCGCAUAACAGUUUAUGCCGCAUGGCAUAAGAGUGAAAGGCGCUUUCGGGUGUCGCUGAUGGAUGGACCCGCGGUGCAUUAGCUAGUUGGUGAGGUAACGGCUCACAAAGGCCACGAUGCAGAGCCGACCUGAGAGGGUGAUCGGCCAGACUGGGACUGAGCGUCGGCCCAGACUCCUACGUGGGGCAGAAGUAGGGAGUCUUCGGCAAUGGACGGAAGUCUGAGCGAGCAACGUCGCGUGAGUGAAGAAGGUUUUCGGAUCGUAAAACUCUGUUGUUAGAGAAGAACAAGGACGUUAGUAACUGAACGUCCCCUGACGGUAUCUAACCAGAAAGCCACGGCUAACUACGUGCCAGCCGCCGCGGUAA
rnacentral:rRNA from 1 species